UGUGUGAGCCUGUUGCUCAUGUGUGUUGUGGAGCGAGCUGCUUCUAUGCUGUGUGCGAUUAUGCGCGCAACUGCACGAUAAAGAUCAUGCUUUGCGGCUUUGCGCGUUAAUGAUGAUGAAGAGGACGCUUUACGGAUAGAUACAUUUUGUGUGUGUUUCUUCAUGUCCACUGAUCUGUCCUCAGCCUCCUCCAGCAUCUGAUGAAGUUUGGGCGCGUUUAGAUGCACUAUGUGAUGCAUUUGUGAUAUAGUCACCGGCGCGUCUUGAGAAGAUCAUUGAAAGCAAGAUCCUCGUUAUUUGUUUCCGCGAUGUCAAUCAAAAAAGCAACAUUGACGGAGAAUGGGGUUAAAAACGGAAAAUCGAGAAAUGUGCUGGAGCGAUGCGCCUCGGUCUCUGAGUAUUUUGAUAUUGCUUUCAAGGUGAUGCUGCUGGGAGACUCGGCAGUGGGGAAGACCUGCAUCCUGGUGCGCUUUAAAGAUGGUGCCUUUCUGGGAGGCAACUUCAUUGCCACAGUGGGGAUAGACUUUAGGAAUAAGGUGGUGACUGUGGAUAACAUGAAAGUCAAAAUCCAGAUUUGGGACACGGCCGGUCAGGAGAGGUUUCGCAGUGUUACUCACGCAUACUACAGAGAUGCUCAGGCUCUACUGCUGCUGUAUGACAUCACGAGAAAGUCCUCCUUCGACAACAUCAGAGCCUGGCUGACUGAAAUCUAUGAGUAUGCACAGAAGGAUGUGGUCAUCAUGUUGCUUGGCAACAAGUCAGACAUGGCUGCUGAGAGGGUGAUCACACAUGAAGAAGGGGAGAAGCUGGCUAAGGAAUAUGGAGUCCCUUUCAUGGAGACAAGUGCCAAGACUGGUGUCAAUGUGGAACUCGCUUUCCAUGCCAUAGCAAGAGAACUCAAGCACAGAAACAUCCAGCAGCCCCACGAGCCCAAGUUCAAGAUCCAUGAUUACAUCGAGUCACAGCAACAGAAGUCCAACUGCUGCGGCGGCCUCAUGUGACCAACACUACAGAUAUCCGUACACAAAGACGUGUGUGAAUGUCUGAAACGUGCUUUGUUUCUAUGUGUCCGAUCCCCCAGACCCCUGUUCGCUUUAUAGUCAGGAAUAUACAGCCAAAUACCGCUGAGGUGCAUCAGAGUAAUACGUUUCUGCUUUAUAAACUGUAUUAAUCCAGGUGUGUACAGUAUCCAGGUGUGUCUGAUUAUUCCAGGUACGUUUGUUUGUGUAACGUGGUUUCUGGGUUUCUUCUCUGAUGGUUAUAGCCUCUAUCUACACACGGCAUAAAAUAUAUUAGUAUUGUAUUACAUUAUAUGCCACGCAAAUGUGCUCGAAUUGUGCGGUGAGCUUGUGUCUGUAGUGUUUUUAUAUAUAAAAUUCUUUACUGUAUAUUUGAGUGUCUUGCCGAGUCAAAAUAUCAGCUGCAGUCCGUAACUUUUGGCGCUCUAGCGGUUAAUGAACAGAACUGCAUGCGUCUUGCGG